GUCAGGGCCCACAGCAGAAGAGACUCUUUGUGAAUUCACUAAUCAGGUGAUUUGCUCAUGCUUUUCAUUUCUUUUUUCUUUUCUUUCCUUUUCUUUUCUUUUCUUCUUUCUUUCUUUCUCUUUCUCUCUCUCUCUUUCUUCUUUCUUUCUUUCCUUUCUUUCUUUUAAAUAUAAUUUAUUGUCAAAUUGGCUAACAUACAGCGCAUACAGUGUGCUCUUGGUUUUGGGGGAAGAUUCCCGUGCUUCAUCGCUUACAUACAACACUCAGAGCUCAGA